rnacentral:rRNA from 1 species
UACGUAGGCAGCGAGCGUUGUUCGGAAUUACUGGGCGUAAAGCGUGCGUAGGCGGUGCUCUAAGUUUGGUGUGAAAUCUCCCGGCUUAACCGGGGGGGUGCGCCGAAGACUGGAGUGCUUGAGUGUGGGAGAGGAAAGCGGAAUUCCUGGUGUAGCGGUGAAAUGCGUAGAGAUCAGGAGGAACACCUACGGUGUAGACGGCUUUCUGGACCACGACUGACGCUGAGGCACGAAAGCGUGGGUAGCAAACAGG